CUGGAGAGGUGUCUCUGGAGACAGGAGACAGGGUGGCUGGUAGAACUGGAGAGGUGUCUCUGGAGACAGGAGACAGGGUGGCUGGUAGAACUGGAGAGGUGUCUCUGGAGACAGGGUGCCUGGUAGAACUGGAGAGGUGUCUCUGGAGACAGGGUGGCUGGUAGAACUGGAGAGGUGUCUCUGGAGACAGGAGACAGGGUGGCUGGUAGAACUGGAGAGGUGUCUCUGGAGACAGGAGACAGGGUGGCUGGUAGAACUGGAGAGGUGUCUCUGGAGACAGGAG